rnacentral:rRNA from 1 species
GACGAACGCUGGCGGCGUGCUUAACACAUGCAAGUCGAACGGAAAGGCCCUGCUUUUGUGGGGUGCUCGAGUGGCGAACGGGUGAGUAACACGUGAGUAACCUGCCCUUGACUUUGGGAUAACUUCAGGAAACUGGGGCUAAUACCGGAUAGGAGCUCCUGCUGCAUGGUGGGGGUUGGAAAGUUUCGGCGGUUGGGGAUGGACUCGCGGCUUAUCAGCUUGUUGGUGGGGUAGUGGCUUACCAAGGCUUUGACGGGUAGCCGGCCUGAGAGGGUGACCGGCCACAUUGGGACUGAGAUACGGCCCAGACUCCUACGGGAGGCAGCAGUGGGGAAUAUUCCAAAAUGGGCGGAAGCCUGAUGCAGCAACGCCGCGUGCGGGAUGACGGCCUUCGGGUUGUAACCCGCUUUCGCCUGUGACGAAGCGUGAGUGACGGUAAUGGGUAAAGAAGCACCGGCUAACUACGUG